rnacentral:tRNA from 1 species
AAGUUAAUGAACUUGUAAAAGUAUAUAUUUUGAAAAUAUAAAAAAGAAAUAAAACUUUCUAUUAACUU